UACGGGGGGUCCGAGCGUUAAUCGGAAUUACUGGGCGUAAAGGGUCUGUAGGUGGUUUGUUAAGUCGGAUGUGAAAGCCCAGGGCUCAACCUUGGAACUGCAUUUGAUACUGGCAAACUAGAGUAUGGUAGAGGAAUGGGGAAUUUCUGGUGUAGCGGUGAAAUGCGUAGAGAUCAGAAGGAACACCAAUGGCGAAGGCAACAUUCUGGACCAAUACUGACACUGAGGGAUGAAAGCGUGGGGAUCAAACAGGAUUAGAUACCCUGGUAGUCCACGCUGUAAACGAUGAGUACUAGCUGUUGGAUUCGGUGUAAAGGAUCUAGUGGCGCAGCUAACGCGUUAAGUACUCCGCCUGGGGACUACGGCCGCAAGGCUAAAACUCAAAGGAAUUGACGGGGACCCGCACAAGCGGUGGAGCAUGUGGUUUAAUUCGAUGCAACGCGAUGAACCUUACCUGGUCUUGACAUCCUGCGAACUUUCUAGAGAUAGAUUGGUGCCUUCGGGAACGCAGUGACAGGUGCUGCACGGCUGUCGUCAGCUCGUGUUGUGAAAUGUUGGGUUAAGUCCCGCAACGAGCGCAACCCCUAUUGAUAGUUACCAUCAUUAAGUUGGGUACUCUAUUGAGACUGCCGCUGACAAGGCGGAGGAAGGUGGGGACGACGUCAAG
rnacentral:rRNA from 1 species